CAUAAAGUACGUCGUAGUCCGGAUUGGAGUCUGCAACUCGACUCCAUGAAGUCGGAAUCGCUAGUAAUCGUAGAUCAGAAUGCUACGGUGAAUACGUUCCCGGGCCUUGUACACACCGCCCGUCACACCAUGGGAGUGGGUUGCAAAAGAAGUAGGUAGCUUAACCUUCGGGAGGGCGCUUACCACUUUGUGAUUCAUGACUGGGGUGAAGUCGUAACAAGGUAACCGUAGGGGAACCUGCGGUUGGAUC
rnacentral:rRNA from 1 species